UCAUCAAACCUCAUCAUCAGUCAUAUGAUAGAUUCGAUCAGCUCAAGUCUAAUUGUGAUCUUUAUGAAAACUCUUUUUCAUCAAUCACACUGCUGUGGUCACAGAAUCUCAGACUUAGCCUCUCAAAUCUCAUAGGACUACUCCUUUCUAUCAAGAUCGAUAGAUUCCAUCUUGAUGCAUACCCUACUCUUACAGUGGACCAACUGUCGCCAAC
rnacentral:lncRNA from 1 species